ACUGGGGUAGUUUGAAAAGAUAGUAGGGCAAAUCCAAGCAUCCAGUUUUGUUACUUUCUCAGAAGACGAGAUAGACCCUGCGGGUUUAAGGCACACUAAAGCUCUGCAUGUAACAGUGAAAUGUAAGGGUUGUAUAGUAGCCAAGGUACUUAUUGAUAACGGGUCAGCUCUUAAUGUACUGCCUAAUACCACCUUGGCCAGGCU
rnacentral:misc_RNA from 1 species